rnacentral:misc_RNA from 1 species
GCAGAGCCUCUAGAUCAAGUGAAGCUUUCAAUAUGCUUGAGAGGUUACCUUAUGAUGGUGUCCAUCUAAGUAAAGAAAGUUACAGGAUUGUGUUAAAUUUCUUGUGUAAAGAAGGUGAGCUAGUAAAGGCGAUGGACUUGUUGGGUUUGAUGUUGGCUAGACGAUUUGUGCCCCAUUUUGCUACGUCUAAUGAACUGAUAGUUCAACUAUGCGAGGCUGGAAAGGCAGCUGAUGCAGCUUUGGCAUUGUUUGGG